rnacentral:rRNA from 1 species
AACCUGGUUGAUCUUGCCAGUAGUCAUAUGCUUGUCUCAAAGAUUAAGCCAUGCAAGUGAAAGUAUAUGCAUAUUUUAUAUGUAGAAACUGCGAACGGCUCAUUAAAACAGUUAUAAUCUACUUGACAUUUUAUUAUAAGGAUAACUACGGAAAAGCUGUAGCUAAUACUUGCUUUAAGUGCUUUUUACUUCUUGGAGUAAUUAGCAUGUAUUUGUUAAGCCUUAUAAGAAAAAUUUUUAAUUAAAGGAAUUAUAACAAAGAAGUAACACAUAAUAUAUUUACUAUAUUUAGUGUGUAUCAAUCGAGUUUCUGACCUAUCAGCUUUUGAUGUUAGGGUAUUGGCCUAACAUGGCUAUGACGGGUAACGGGGAAUUAGAGUUCGAUUCCGGAGAGGGAGCCUGAGAAAUAGCUACCACAUCUAAGGAAGGCAGCAGGCGCGUAAAUUACCCAAUUCUAAAUAAGAGAGGUAGUGACAAGAAAUAACAAUAUAAGGCCAAAUUUUGGUUUUAUAAUUGGAAUGAUGGGAAUUUAAAACCUUCCCAAAAAUCAAUUGGAGGGCAAGUCUGGUGCCAGCAGCCGCGGUAAUUCCAGCUCCAAUAGCGUAUAUUAAAAUUGUUGCAGUUAAAACGCUCGUAGUUGAACUUCAAGGGUAUUAUUAUUUUAAGUAACUCACUUGGCGAGAAUCUUGGCUCCGCCUCGAUAUCUUCAUGCCUUGUUGUAGUUCUUUUAAUUACAGACCCUUUGAGAGCCCAAUGAUUUAUCACUGGGUUUCUCGUUACUUUGAGUAAAUUAGAGUGUUCAAAGCAAACAGUUAAAGCGUUUUCGCGUUUGAAUACUAUAGCAUGGAAUAACAAAAUUGAACAAGUCAAAUUUUUUGUUCUUUUUUCUUAUUUUGGCUUAGUUACGAUUAAUAGGAGUAGCUUGGGGGCAUUUGUAUUCAGAUGUCAGAGGUGAAAUUCUUAGAUUUUCUGGAGACAAACAACUGCGAAAGCAUUUGCCUAAAAUACUUCCAUUAAUCAAGAACGAAAGUUAAGGGAGUGAAGACGAUCAGAUACCGUCGUAAUCUUAACCAUAAACUAUGCCGACUAGGUUUUGGAUGAAAAUUUUUAAAUAAGAUUUCCCUUCGGGGAUUUCUUAGAUUGCUUCCUUCAGUACCUUAUGAGAAAUCAAAGUCUUUGGGUUCUGGGGCGAGUAUUCGCGCAAGCGAGAAAGUUAAAAGAAUUGACGGAAGGGCACCACCAGGCGUGGAGCUUGCGGCUUAAUUUGACUCAACACGGGGAAACUCACUAGUUUAAGACAAGAGUAGGAUUGACAGAUUAAUAGCUCUUUCUUGAUUUCUUGGAUGGUGAUGCAUGGCCGUUUUUAGUUCGUGAAUAUGAUUUGUCUGGUUAAUUCCGAUAACGAACGAGAUCUUAACCUGCUAAUUAGCGGCGAGUACUCUAUAUCCUUUAUUGGGAGAUUGGUUUUGACGUUUAUGUGGGCAUAUUGAUUAAUCAAUUGGUUUACCUUUUGCUCUUUUU